GCUGGCGUAGCUCAGCUGGUAGAGCACAGCUUUCGUAAAGCUGAGGUCACGGGUUCGACUCCCGUCGCCAGCUCCA
rnacentral:tRNA from 2 species